AUUGAACGCUGGCGGCAGGCCUAACACAUGCAAGUCGAGCGAGCGGAGGACGGGUGAGUAAUGUCUGGGAAACUGCCUGAUGGAGGGGGAUAACUAUUGGAAACGGUAGAUAAUACCGCAUACCAUCAGAUGUGCCCACAUGGGAUUAGCUAGUAGGUGUGGUAACGGCUCACCUAGGCGACGCUCCCUAGCUGGUCUGAGAGGAUGACCAGCCACACUGGAACUGAGACACGGUCCAGACUCCGACGGGAGGCAGCAGUGGGGAAUAUUGCACAAUGGGCGCAAGCCUGAUGCAGCCAUGCCGCGUGUGUGAAGAAGGCCUUCGGGUUGUAAAGCACUUUCAGCGGGGAGGCGUUACCCGCAGAAGAAGCACCGGCUAACUCCGUGCCAGCAGCCGCGGUAAUUC
rnacentral:rRNA from 1 species